rnacentral:rRNA from 1 species
CGCUAUCACUCCUACGGGAGGCAGCAGUGGGGAAUAUUGCACAAUGGGGGAAACCCUGAUGCAGCCAUGCCGCGUGUGUGAAGAAGGCCUUCGGGUUGUAAAGCACUUUCAGUAGGGAGGAAGGUAGUGUAGUUAACACCUGCAUUAUUUGACGUUACCUACAGAAGAAGCACCGGCUAACUCCGUGCCAGCAGCCGCGGUAAUACGGAGGGUGCGAGCGUUAAUCGGAAUUACUGGGCGUAAAGCGCAUGCAGGCGGCCUGUUAAGUCAGAUGUGAAAGCCCGGGGCUUAACCUCGGAAUUGCAUUUGAAACUGGCAGGCUAGAGUCUUGUAGAGGGGGUAGAAUUUCAGGUGUAGCGGUGAAAUGCGUAGAGAUCUGAAGGAAUACCAGUGGCGAAGGCGGCCCCCUGGACAAAGACUGACGCUCGGAUGCGAAAGCGUGGGGAGCAAACAGGAUUAGAUACCCUGGUAG